rnacentral:rRNA from 1 species
AUUGAACGCUGGCGGCAUGCCUUACACAUGCAAGUCGAACGGCAGCACGGGGCAACCUGGUGGCGAGUGGCGAACGGGUGAGUAAUGCAUCGGAACGUACCUUUCAGUGGGGGAUAACGUAGCGAAAGUUACGCUAAUACCGCAUAUUCUGUGAGCAGGAAAGCAGGGGAUCGCAAGACCUUGCGCUGAUUGAGCGGCCGAUGUCAGAUUAGCUAGUUGGUGAGGUAAAGGCUCACCAAGGCGACGAUCUGUAGCGGGUCUGAGAGGAUGAUCCGCCACAGUGGAACUGAGACACGGUCCAGACUCCUACGGGAGGCAGCAGUGGGGAAUUUUGGACAAUGGGGGCAACCCUGAUCCAGCCAGGCCGCGUGAGUGAAGAAGGCCUUCGGGUUGUAAAGCUCUUUCGGCCGGGAAGAAAUCGCACGGGCUAAUACCCUGUGUGGAUGACGGUACCGGAAUAAGAAGCACCGGCUAACUACGUGCCAGCAGCCGCCGUAAUAC